rnacentral:rRNA from 1 species
UACAUAGGGUGCAAGCGUUAAUCGGAAUUACUGGGCGUAAAGCGUGCGUAGACGGUUAUGUAAGUCGGGUGUGAAAGCCCCGGGCUCAACCUGGGAAUGCCAUUCGAGACUGCAUAGCUAGGGUGCGGAAGAGGGAAGCGGAAUUUCCGGUGUAGCGGUGAAAUGCGUAGAUAUCGGAAGGAACACCAGUGGCGAAAGCGGCUUCCUGGUCCAGCACCGACGUUCAGGCACGAAAGCGUGGGGAGCAAACAGG